UACGUAGGUCCCGAGCGUUAUCCGGAGUUACUGGGCGUAAAGCGUCUGUAGCCUGAUACGUAAGUCUAUUUUCAAAGAUCAUGACUCAAUCAUGGGAAGGGAGUAGAUACUGCAUAUCUAGAGUAUUUUAGGGGUUAGUAGAAUUUUCGGUGGAGCGGUGAAAUGCGUUGAUAUCGGAAGGAAUGCCAAAAGCGAAAGCAGCUAACCAUAAAAUUACUGACGGUCAGAGACGAAAGCUUGGGUAGCAAACGGG
rnacentral:rRNA from 1 species